ACUGGGAACCUCCAUAUACCAAAGGAGUGGCCCUAAAAAACAAAACAAAACCAAAAAAACCACCAAACCCCCAAGAUUCCUGACACGCAAGCCCCACUCCUUUCUGCUUCUCAUCUGCCUUUGCAGCUCUGGCUGCUGGACUGUCCUUCCUGGAAACUGCUGGCAGGCUAGUUCCCUGGCACAUAGUAGGCACGAAGGAAUUGACUGAAUGAAAGGAUGUGUCUUCCGCUGAGCUGUCUGUACACUUUGACAAGUAGUUCUGGAAUGUCAGGGACAAAAGAUACUUGAAGGCUUUCUAGAUGCCAGGUCCUGGUUGGGUGACCACUGUCUUGAUUUGCUGGGGAUUUUCUCAGCACUGGAAGUCUAAGAACCAGGAAACUCCUGGGACAAAGGCAAAUCGGGAGGGCUGGUCAUCAUGCUGGUUUAGAUGAUACAUGCUCAAUCUCGGUGGGACCUCUGGCAUCGUGGGAGAGGAUGACAUUAGUUCUCUCACAAAGAAAUAAGUAAUUACAAACUCUGAUGAAUGCAAAAAGGAAGGCGGCCCUGAGCUAAGUGCUGUGCCUACGAAGAGGCAAAGGCAUGGUCCUGGCCCUGGAGACAGAUUGCAGGAGGAGAGAGACACACACGGCUUGUUGAUCAUCAGGUACCCGGUGCCAUGGAUCAGAAGCCUGCACUCUCCCUGUUGGCAAUGCGCCGUUUCUAUUUUAAGUGAGGUUGCAAGCACCAGAAACCCACUCUGGUAAAUUAAAUAGAUAUACAUCUACUGAAAGGGCGUUACAGGGAAAAGCUGAAAAACUAGGUCUUGGAAGAGAGAGAAACAACAUGCUUCUUAGGGAGUUGAGAGAGUAAGAAAUACUCCAGAACAAAAGAGCAUGCUUUGUUCCGUUUCCAUUAGAAAAACUGACUCGAGCCAUUCUCUGCCCUUGGGUGUCUCUGCCCAAUAUUCUAAUUCCAGGAAGAAAGAAUUUGACAGCCAAGUCUGGGUCUCAGGCCCGCCCCUCUACUAGGCUCGGGAGGCACCGUGAUUAGAAAUGUCACCAGAAUCAUUUGCCAUGGGGCCUGGGGGCCGGGUGGUUGCUAAUGGAAACGGAAGGGCCAGGAUGCUGGGAAGGUGAGGGCCCUAGUCACCUGCUCUCUCCUCUUAUGAAGUGGUCCAGAUGCCACUUUCCCUACGGCUUCCUGUACUGUGGUCACUGCCUUCCAAGGAGCUCUCUGCUGGCCUUCUGUCCAGAACAUUCUGUUACCAUGGACAGCCUCAUGCUGACGGCUGUCUUAUCCAGCCACCUUGACCAUGACUACCUGGGAGCAUGCACUGUGUGCCUUAGGCCCAGCUGGUGCCAUUCCUGGCACAGAGAUGAAACUCUGUAAACGUCACUGAGGACUUUCUAGAAAGUUCUAAGGAGCACACUGCCCUCCAGCCAAACCGGUCUUCUUUCUGCUCCUCACAUACUCUGCUUGCCUUAUUAUCCCUUCCACCCAUUUCCCUGCUUUGCGGACCUCAUGGCUCAGCAGUUCUAUAAUCAGGGGAGAUUUUGUCCUCUAGGGAUAUUUGGUGAUGUCCAGAGACAGUUCUGGGUGUCACACUGGAGAGGGGGCUGCGACCGGCAGCCUUGGGAGCAGGCUAGAGAGGCUGGUAAACAACCUAGAAAGCAUGCACAGGGCAGACCCCACAGCAAGGACUGAUCAGGCCCCAAGUGUCCCUAGUGCUGGGGCAGAGGCGUCCAGCGGCGUGGCUGAAUGCCACGUCUCUGCUCACAGGUCCUCCAUGCCAGAAGGGCCUCCCUGACCAUCCACCCAUCACUCUCUCUUUAACCCCCUAUUGCAUUUUCCUAAAAUGAUUGUGCCUGUGUAGUCAGUUGCUUGUUUGGGGUUCAUGCCCUCCAAGAGAAGGACAGUCCUAGGAGAGUGGCCCUCCGAGGGCUUUGUUCCCAGCUGGUAGCCCAGCAUGGCAAAUGGUACCUAGCACACGUGGGCAGCUCAAUACAAACAUGUUGAAAGAGAGUUUAAAGAAGGAGCGUAGCCUCAGGGCCCCCAAACGCAGAGGGCAGAAUGCUCGGCUGCGAAGCCCACUUUUGUGGGGCUGGCCACCUUGGGGCGCAUUUGUUUAUUUCUCCAGCCAGUUGGAAUUUAGCCUUUGGCAGAUUCCUGAGGUCUUCUGGACCUCAGUUUCUGCAUCUGUCAAGUGGGGCUAUGGUUAUUGGCCCUUUCCUUGCAGAGGUGUGUUGGGGAUGAACUAAAUCAACCCCCCGAACACUUAAGAAAAUGCCUGCCUCAGAAGAGCCUCAGUAAAUGUCAUCUCUCAUCACCGUCAUCCCCAUGACUUGGCUGGAGUAGGCGGUGAAGAUGAGAGAAUGGGCUCUGGGGCCCUCCCAGAAGAUUAGGGGAUUAAUGCAGCUUGCAAGGCCAAAGCUGUCCCCACUUGGUUUUGCCAGCUUCUGCUCCAUCCACGAAAUAAACCGGAUGAAGCCUUUAUCCAUCUCUUGUUUUGAAAAGGAGGCUGUCAGAGACUGUGGAUUUAAUGUGGCAGAUGGUGCUGUCCUUGCAUUAGGAAACCAAAGGAGGAAAUUAAAGUGCUCGUUGCAACAGAUAUGGGCCAGCGGGGGUAGAGGGCAGGGGGUGGGGCACGAAGGAGGCCAGAGGAGAUGUUUUAUCAGUUGGACAAUGGCUAUUCUUGAGGGUAGCUGGAGUCCUAGAAUAACAUAAUUUUAGAGCUUAAAAUAAUUUUAGGCUAUCUCCUGCAUUUUAUAUAGGCAAAUAAAGCCCAGAGAAGUGACCCCCAAGUUCACACAGCCAGUUGUUGGCAGAGCAAACCACACCUCGUUUUAUUGAACAGGGUUAUUUUUGUUGCCCCAGGCCGAGGCCAGUGGCAGCCUCUGUCUCAGGGCAUCCUGACUUGGGCACCUCUACUCUGGAGAGAACAAGGCACAUGCCCCCCCUGUCUCUUCCCAGAACAGCAGAGGGAGUAUGAGCCAGAGCCCUGGAGCUAUUCUGUCUGGGCCCUCGACCUCAGUUUGCUCAUCUGUAAAAUGGGAAUAAAACAGCCCCUACCUUGCAGGGUCACUGUGAGAAUUUGAUGAGUGAUUAUCAUGUAAAGUAUUUAAUCACGGGCUGGGCACCUAGUAAAUGCUCUAUGAAAUGUUCUUAUUAUGGCCCCAGAAUUGACGUUAGGGUAUAGCUGUGCCUGGGUUGUGAGCCCCUCAGAGGCUGUUCCCAGCUAUGGGACAUCUUUUGUCCCCUAUGCCUUACCAGGCAACCGACGCCUGCCUGGGGCUCAGCAAAUGGUAGUGGCUGACAACUGGCCCCCUGAGGGACACCCAUUUCUGAGUUGGCACCAUGAAGCACCAGGAAAUGCCGCCAGCAAUGCAUGUGACUUUUGUUGCUGGUUUAGACUUUAAUCCUAAAUGGAUAAAGCAACCCUGCCCAGUGGUGAACCGUCUCGUGAUGAGGGCUGUGUUUGUUUUCCCAGCCUUUCUCAGUAGCACAGAAUUUUUCCCCAACUAGCUGUGGGCUAUUUGCAUUUAAAUUGGUUUUCUCUCAUUACAGAAAUCUCUUAGGUCAGCUGGAGUUUCCAUUUUCCUCAGCAUCAGUCUGGAAGCUCCAUUUCUUGCUCGGGGUCCCUCAGGCCUUCCUUCCUCUCCCUGACAGUGAGAUGUGGUCACUUAUGCUCAUUGUGGAGGCCAGAUAGCUUGAGAAAGUCACCCAAAUCCUGGGAGAGCUUGGUGUGCUUCUCCCAGGAGAAGGUGGGCUAAGACUCGUUUUCUCAUUUUUUUUCAUAAAACAUCCAUUGACUAAGCAUGAUGCUGGGUGUAUCACGUAUGGAAUGCAGAGAUCAAUAAGAUGCAUUUACUGCCUUCUGGGAGUUCCUUGUCUAGUAAAGGAGAGAGAAAAGCAGAGGAAUACAAAAAAUCAUUACACAGUCAAAUAAUUGCUUUGAUAAGGAUCAGGAUAGAUUCCAGCCAGAGAAGAGGCUUGCAGACAGUGCACAGGCAUACACAUGUGCAUGUACACACUAGCUAAUGUGUUUAUAGUACUUACCAUGCGGUCAGGCAUCUUUCUAAGCAGAUAAUUUAUUGUUUAUAUAUAUACACACACACUCACAUAUACACAUAUACCUAUAUCAACAUUAUGUAUUUAUAUAUAUUUUUUUAUUGUGCUAUGCUUUAUUGUUCUUCCCAGAUACCGUGUUUUUUAUAAAUUGAAGGUUUGUGCCAACCCUGUGCCAAGCCAAGUCUACUGGUGCCAUUUUUCCAAUAGCAUCAUUGUUUUUAAUGGCCAUACCCGUGGCAUAUGGAAGUUCUCUGGGCCAGGAACUGAAUCUCAGCUUUAGCUGUGAUCUACACUGCAGCUGUAGGUGCUAGGCUGAUAAUUAAACCCACACCUCCACAGCGACCUGAGCCACUGCAGCCAGGUUCUUCAGCCACUGUGCCACAGCAGGAACUCCAGCACCAUUUUUUGAAAUUAAAAUACGUGCAUUGUUGACAGUUCCUGUUGUGGCUCAGUGGCUUAAGAAUCUGACUAGCAUCCAUGAGGAUGAGGGUUUGAUCCCUGGCCUUGCUCAGUGGGUUAAAGGACCACGUUACCGAGAGCUGCUGUGUAGGUAGCGGUCGCAGCUCGGAUCCGCUGUUACCGUGGCUGUGGCGUAGGCUGGCAGCUGCAGCUCCAAUUCGACCACUAGGUUGAGAACGUCCAUAUGCUGUGGGUAUGGACACAAAAAGACAAAAAAGAAAAAAAAGAUAUGUACAUUGUUUUCUUAGAAUAAUGCAAUUACACACUACAGUAUAGUUAAUUCAGUCUUCACGACAGGCCAUAAAGGAAGUGCUCUGUUAUCAUUGUUUUCCAGAUGAGGGAAAUGAAGCACAGAAAGAUGAAAUCAUUGCCCAAGGUCACUGCUAAUACACUGUGCAGCUAGACUUGAACCCUCACGGUCUGGCUCCAGAGCCUGUGCUAUUCAUCCUAUGUUAUGACCACACCUGACAAAGAUGUGCUUUUGUGUUUUCUAGUCUAGUUCAUCUUUCAAGAAGAGCUAGUCAAGAUCCACUACGCUGCCAUUCUAACCCAUCUAUAGGCUGUGAACUGUGGUUUGUGAAGAGUGAAUUGAACUGUGGGAGUGCCCACGUCUGCCUGAGAGAAUCAGGGAGGGCAAAACAGGGAGAAGAUGCUGGUGGUGGAUUUGAACGAUGACGAGGAUUUUUCCAGAUGAGUAAGAGGACGAUCAGAGCUACAUCCUGAAGAACAAGACUGGGCUGAUCCCCAAAGUAUGAGCGAGUGUGGAAGUCUAGGUCUGGAAAGCCCCACAUUGUGCGAUGGUGCUCAGGUGAGAUGUAGGCGGCGCAGGUGGCAAGGCAUGGGACUGGCCACCCAAGCCUUUUGGCCAAGACCAAACCAUAACAGGACCUGAAUGUCAUGUUCAUGGCCUGAGGGCCAGACUAGGAUAGGGGCAUAGCUGGUUAGAAAGAUCACUCUGGCUCUGAUGGAGGAGGCUCUCUCUGGACAGGGAGGCGAGAAGACAGUAUAAUCAAGAGAUGGAACCGAGAAGUCAAAGAGCAAUAAUUGAUUGGGUGUAAUCAAUAGGGUUAGAUGGUUUUGGUUUUGUUUUUGUUUUUCCU
ensembl:lncRNA